rnacentral:rRNA from 1 species
GAUGAACGCUAGCGGCAGGCCUAAUACAUGCAAGUCGGACGGGAUUGGAGAGCUUGCUUUCCAUGAGAGUGGCGCACGGGUGCGUAACACGUAUGUAACCUACCUUAAUCUGGGGGAUAGCCUCUCGAAAGAGAGAUUAACACCGCAUAACAUUACCGGACAGCAUUUUUUGGUAAUCAAAUACUUAUAGGAUUAAGAUGGGCAUGCGGAACAUUAGCUAGUUGGUAAGGUAACGGCUUACCAAGGCUACGAUGUUUAGGGGAUCUGAGAGGAUGACCCCCCACACUGGUACUGAGACACGGACCAGACUCCUACGGGAGGCAGCAGUAGGGAAUAUUGGUCAAUGGGCGCAAGCCUGAACCAGCCAUGCCGCGUGCAGGAAGACGGCCCUACGGGUUGUAAACUGCUUUUGUACCGGAAUAAACCCUUUUACGUGUAAGAGGCUGAAUGUACGGUAAGAAUAAGGAUCGGCUAACUCCGUGCCAGCCGCCGCAGUAA